rnacentral:sRNA from 1 species
AUUCUGCCCAAGCGGGGAAGGAUGAGAAGCUUCGACCAAGGUUCGACUUGAGCGCCAGCGAGAGAGCGUUGCCGCAGGCAACGACCCGAAGGGCGAAGCGCAGCGCUGAGUAAUCCUUCCCCCACCACCA